AUUGAACGCUGCGGCAGGCCUAACACAUGCAAGUCGAGCGAGCGGCGGACGGGUGAGUAAUGCUUAGGUAUCUGCCUAUUAGUGGGGGAAAACAUCUCGCAAGGGAUGCUAAUACCACAUACUAAUGGAUGCGCCUAGGUCGGAUUAGCUAGUUGGUGGGGUAAAGGCCUACCAAGGCGUCGAUCUGUAUCGGGUCUGGGAGGAUGAGCCGCCAAACGGGGACGGGGACACGGCCCAGACGCCGACGGGAGGGAGCAGUGGGGAAUAUUGGACAAUGGGGGGAACCCUGAACCAGCCAUGGCGCGUGGGUGAAGAAGGCCUUAUGGGUGUAAAGCACUUGAAGCGAGGAGGCGUUACUCGCAGAAUAAGCACCGGCUAACUCUGUGCCAGCCGCCGCGGUAAUAC
rnacentral:rRNA from 1 species